GAGUUUGAUCGUGGCUCAGAGCGAACGCUGGCGGCAGGCCUAACACAUGCAAGUCGAACGGACCCUUCGGGGUUAGUGGCGGACGGGUGAGUAACACGUGGGAACGUGCCUUUGGGUUCGGAAUAGCUCCUGGAAACGGGUGGUAAUGCCGAAUGUGCCCUUCGGGGUAAAGGAUUUAUCGCCUUUAGAGCGGCCCGCGUCUGAUUAGCUAGUUGGUGAGGUAACGGCUCACCAAGGCGACGAUCAGUAGCUGGUCUGAGAGGAUGACCAGCCACACUGGGACUGAGACACGGCCCAGACUCCUACGGGAGGGCAGCAGUGGGGAAUCUUGCGCAAU
rnacentral:rRNA from 1 species